AAGUCGUAACAAGGUAACCGUAGGUGAACCUGCGGUUGGAUCAUUAAAAAAAAACAAAAAGUGGGAAAUAAUUGGAGGAAAGCGGGGAGGUCGACUCACCAUGUACUUGUGCUGCUCUGUGAGAAUGUCCAUGCCCUAUUCGGUGUUGGAUGUCCGCUCAGACACGCAGGAGACGGUGAAUAUACCUGUUCCUGAGUACUCUGAAAGUACCAGCCUUUAGGGGAACAUCCUGUGAACUGUUCUGUUUUUUGGCGGGUGGGCAGUGAAAGCUGCUUGUCAGCGUGGGGCGAUCUUCACGGAUCUCUCUGCGUCGUGGACAGCCCGUCAGCCGUGUUCAAAACCAAUUUAUUAUCAUUCAUGUCUAACACUGUAUUUUAUAAAUAUAUAAAACAACUUUUGGCAACGGAUCUCUUGGCUCUC
rnacentral:misc_RNA from 1 species